AUUGAACGCUGGCGGCAUGCCUUACACAUGCAAGUCGAACGGUAACAGGUCUUCGGAUGCUGACGAGUGGCGAACGGGUGAGUAAUACAUCGGAACGUGCCCGAUCGUGGGGGAUAACUACUCGAAAGAGUAGCUAAUACCGCAUACGAUCUACGGACGAAAGCGGGGGAUCUUCGGACCUCGUGCGGACGGAGCGGCCGAUGGCAGAUUAGGUAGUUGGUGGGAUAAAAGCUUACCAAGCCGACGAUCUGUAGCUGGUCUGAGAGGACGACCAGCCACACUGGGACUGAGACACGGCCCAGACUCCUACGGGAGGCAGCAGUGGGGAAUUUUGGACAAUGGGCGAAAGCCUGAUCCAGCAAUGCCGCGUGCAGGAUGAAGGCCUUCGGGUUGUAAACUGCUUUUGUACGGAACGAAAAGACUCCUUCUAAUACAGGGGGUCCAUGACGGUACCGUAAGAAUAAGCACCGGCUAACUACGUGCCAGCAGCCGCCGUAAAAC
rnacentral:rRNA from 1 species